rnacentral:rRNA from 1 species
GACGAACGCUGGCGGCGUGCUUAACACAUGCAAGUCGAACGGUGAAGCGCCUUCCUUUUUGGUGGGUGUGGAUGAGUGGCGAACGGGUGAGUAACACGUGAGUAACCUGCCCCCUUCUUCUGGAUAACCGCAUGAAAGUGUGGCUAAUACGGGAUAUUCUGGGUCUGUCGCAUGAUGGGUCUGGGACAGAUAUUGUUUCGGUGGGGGAUGGGCUCGCGGCCUAUCAGCUUGUUGGUGGGGUGAUGGCCUACCAAGGCGGUGACGGGUAGCCGGCCUGAGAGGGUGGACGGUCACACUGGGACUGAGACACGGCCCAGACUCCUACGGGAGGCAGCAGUGGGGAAUAGUGCACAAUGGGAGCAAGCCUGAUGCAGCGACGCCGCGUGAGGGAUGGAGGCCUUCGGGUUGUGAACCUCUUUCGCCAGUGAAGCAGGCCUGCCUCGUUUGUGGGUGGGUUGACGGUAGCUGGAUAAGAAGCGCCGGCUAACUACGUG